CUCAGGGUCACCAGACUCCGUGGAUACUUGGGGGCCUCAUCUUUUCUGGCCUUUCAAUAUCCGGCGACUUUUUUCUGGAAAGUUCUCCCAUGGCUGUGGCUUCCAGGCUGGCACUCCCACUCCUCUGUGCACUGCCCUCUGCUUUCCCUUGAAGAGUCCCCAGGGUUCCACGCGGGUCUCCUGGUGUGCCCCGGCCACGUGCCCAGGGCCCCAGCGGAGCCCCAGCCCCUCAAGCCCCUCCCAUCUCUCGGAUGCACUUCUUCUGCCCACGCGCCUGCUGGACACCUGGUCCUAAGGUCGCCAGUCCAUCACCAGACCCCGACUCUCCCUCUGGGCCACCCUUCCGCCGUCAACCACGGUCCGGCCGCCGUCACGCUGGAAUGUCCUCCCUACCCGCCUGUUGGAUGCUGACCUUUGUCUUUGGGGCCCUUCUCCCGGCUCUACUUCUGUUUCAGGGGACCUUGGAACCCGUCCAGGGCUCCCCCACCCUCCAGCCCCCAGAGCAGAGGGUGGUCCUGUGCCCUGAGACGCCCUCUGGCAGCUGCCGCUUAGUAACUUGACCUCCGCGUUCCUGCCCUGCUGCUGUCUGAAGGCUCAGGAGGCGGGCAGUCCUGGGGAUGCCCUCGAGACCCUCAUUCUUACGUGCCCACCUGAAACCCUGCCCCCACAGCUGCUUAUCUGUUGUGGUUCAGGCACCGGCCAGAAGGCAAAGGUGGGCUCGUUAACCACUGAGCCUCGAUGGGAACUGCUGAAGACAAGCUUUUGUUUGGCUGAGUCCCCAGCAUGUGGAAGUUCAAACCCACACCAUGGCCGUGACCUGAGCCCCUGCGGUGGCAAUGCUGGAUCCUUAACCUGCUGAGCCGCAAGGGAACUCCGAGACGUGCUCGAGAACAUGGCGUCCUGACAGCUUUUGGUGGCUCCCCUGCGCCCACGACGGCGGAGUCUCCUCCCCACGGUGCACAGAUGGCCCCGGGGCCCUGGCUGGCCUUCCUUGACCGCCGUGCUCCCUUCUUGUGUCAUCUCCCCCUCAGCCGGGCCCAGAGCCGUCCGGCCCCCUCCUCUCCUUGCUGGGUACCUCCUUCCGUGGCAGCGCUGCUGGCUUCUCUGCCGACGGCCUCGAGAGCUGGGAGUGGGCGAACCCAGGGCCAAGGAGGCUGGGCUUUGUUCCCUGUCCCCCCCUUCCACCCUCCCUGCCGGGUCGCUGGAGAGGGGACUGCGACAGCUUCUCACCUAGAGUGGACUGGCCUGGGCCCCGGGCGGGCUGGGAUGCUCUAACCAAGCCUUGUCCCCAGCCCCGGAGAGACCGGGCAGCGGUCAUUUUCAGGGCUGGACAGCCCCUGGCCUGAAGCCUCCAGGAGAGCUCAGGUCAGCCAGCUCAGGGCUGCCGGGAGAUCCGGAGACCCCGUGACGAGCUGACUUGUGUCCCCCAGUGGGUGUGUUAAAAUCCUAAUCGGCACGUCGAGCUGUGCCUGCUUAGAGGGAGGGCUUUGACAGGGGUGGGCAAGGUCAAACGAGGUCAUGAGUGUGGGCGUUUAUCCAGGCGCCGGUGUCCUCAGAAGGGGCGAUCAGGACACGCAGCCCUGAAAGAAGGGAGACCCUGACACAGGCUGCAACAUGGAAGGACCUCGACGUCACAUUCUGGGACAGAAACCAGCCACCAAAAAUGUCACAUACUAAUCCAGGGAGUUCCUGUCGUGGCUCAGCGGUAACGAACCUGACCGGGAUCCAUGAGGAUGCAGAUGCAGGAGUGGUGGCGCCCGUGGUACCCGUGUUUAACUCACGGCCGGGACUGCUGCCAGCACCGCUGACUCACAAUGACCGUGGCGCAAGUGCGAGCGGGAGCCUGAGCGCAGCUGGGCAGGCCUGCUCCUCCCUCGGCCUCGGCGCUGCCCCAGUGCCGACUCUGCCCUGGCGACUCCCCUGUUUGGAGACAGCGGCAUCAGGGAGGCUGUUUCUGGGGGGUGCCGUUCGGUGGCUUCUGGUCCAUUCGCGGUCAUGCAACCAUCAUACAGUUAUUUUUCACCCAUUUCAUCACUUCAAACGGAAACCUGCCAUCUAACCACCAGCCCCCCGCCCCGAGCCAGCGCUAACGGGCUUUCUGUCUGUGAGCUGGCCUGUUCCAGGAACCCUCGGGCAGCGGAGUUACACGCGGCUUGCCCUCUGCCUCAAGCCUCAAGGUGCCUCGGGGUUGUGGCAGGUGUGAGGGCGCGAUCCCUUUAAAGGCCCGGUCGCGGCCAUCGCCCGGCUGGACCUCAUCCUGCCCAGGCCUUGAGCCGCAGACAGGCCUGUGGGUUGCUUCCACCUUCCGGCACCUGAGUAAAGCUGUUGAGAACAUGCGCGUCCAGCCUUUCCUGGGGACACGUGUUUGCGUUUCUCUCGGGAAUAAACCUAGGCGAGCAAUUUCUGGGUCGUGUGGCGCCUCUUGGUUUCAUCGAUGGGCUACCUGCCUGGGGAACACCUACCUCUGAGCAGUCACAGCCCCGCUGCAGGCCCUCGAAGAGCUCCUGACCGCAUAGCCCAGGCCUUGCCUCCUGCCCUCCGCCCUCCGCCCUCCGACCUCUGCCCUCCACCCUCUGCCCUCCAUCCUGGGACUGCGGCCCGAGCCCCCGCCCACCGCAGAGGUUUGGCGAAGGCCUGGGUCUCCGCCUGGAGCUCUCCCACUUUCCUCCUGCCUUUCUUCGGGCCUCAGGGCCAGGCAGGCUCCUUGGAGCUCCUUUCCUGCACGGCUCCCAUGGUAUUUGUGCAAUUGGUUGACGGGAGCCCAGGUCUGGGGCUCCAGGAGGGCAAGCAGUCGGCUUUAAAGCCCAGAACGGAGGUUCCGAAUCAUUUGGCGCAAGAAGGCAUUCUCCGAGCAGAAGGGGACUCGGGGCUGUUUUAUUUUCUAAAUGGGUCGCCGGGGACCGGGCUCCCUCUCGCCUACACGACGUGCUCCAAUCUCGUCCCCCUUUUCUGGGGCUCCGAGCUGGCAGCACGUGGCCACAAUUUGAGGAGAGGCUGCCUGGGAAUGAAGCCAUGACGAGGAAAGAUGGACAGAAACAGGAGAAAAGGAAUGAAGCACCUGGAUGGAGCUGUACCUGAAACCCAGCGUCCUGCCGCGGGAGGGGAGCGCACAGCGUCCGGGACGCAGUCCCCGAGCAAGAAACGGCUGUCGCUGAAGCGCAAGGACCGGUUUCCAUCGGCCGUGGGCUCGCGGUGGGGACACCUGCAGCGGGAACGGGACCUCGGGCGGGGUUUGUGCGGUGGCGACUGGGAUUUUAAGCGCUGGGCAACCGUCACCCGAGUCCACUGGGAACAUCUUCUUGACUCCACGACUCCACGAAGAAACCUGCCCCCCCCCACCCCCGGGGACUUGCCUGCUCAGGAUCCUUCACUCCAGGGGAUGGUCAGAACAGGCCGUGCCCUCCCGUCACCUGUCCCGCUCAGCGUCACCUACGAGAGGUGCGCCUGGGUGGUCUGUGUUGGCGCCUCGCCCUUUACCUGGCCCACCAGGACUGCACCACAGACACACCACAACUGACCCGCUGACCGUCGGGUGCGGGACGUGUGGGUUGUUUCCACCUUUUGGUCGUUAGGAGUAAAGCUGCCCUGCAUCUGGGUGUCUCUCACCCUGCAGCAAUGGGCCCAAACUUGGCCAAUACCGGCCGCUUCCCUAAUUGCUGCCCUGCUGCCAGCUCAGGACCAACCAGAGAAAGCCCAGUGUGCUCCCGGACCCACCGGACGCUUGCAGCAUCCCCAGCCCACAGCCCUGCUCAGGGCACAGGGGGGCCCUAUCUCUAGGAAGCCGCCCCCUCGCCUGCCUGCCUUCGAGUCUCUGCCAGCGUGAUGGGGCUGCCUCCCAGCUAGAGCAGAGCCCCAGCCCCUGCCUGCGCUCGCUCGGGUCCUUCGUUUCCAUGUUUUGUCUGCAGGGCCACAUCAGACCCUUGGCACGUGGAGGUUCCCAGACUAGGGCUCCAAUUAGAGCUAUGGCUGCUGGCCUACACCACAGCCAUAGUGACAUGGCAUCCAAGCCAAUUCUGCGACCACCACAGCCCACCGCAACGCUGGAUCCUUAAUCCACCCAGCAAGACCAGGGAUCGAACCUGUGUCCUUGCGGACACCAGUCAGGUCUGUUACUGCUGCGCCACAAGGGCAACUCCCCGCUGUGCGACUCUUCAUGAAUUACGGUCUUUAUUUCAGGACAAGCUGGGACUGAGUCAUGAAAGGGGCGCCAGUGCCCCGCUCACGUGGGAAACCCGCCCCUCCCUGCGGCCAGGCGACCUGGGCCAGGCUGUGUUCUGCUCACCUUUUCCGGCUCGUCCUGCCGGCCUCGUCCCCCCGUCCCCCCCCCCCCCGUGUCUCUGUCCAGGAAGCUGUGGCCUCCCGGGCGGCUGGGCCUUGCCACAGGCCUCCCUUCACCCCUCCCCCCGCCGGACUGGGCUCCUCCUCCCCUCCUUCCGGGAUGCUGGCCCUCGAAGCGCCGCAUGAACUGGGCGGGCUGGGAGGAGACGGGGGCACUUUCGCAGGGAAGGAAAGCGGACCCGCUGCCCCAAAUCAAGCAGCUCCGAGGACCAAAAACGGCUCCCGGGCCUGCGCUCCUCCCGCUCCAACGGCCCGACCAGGGAUCCAGCCCGGGCGCUGCAGCGCCCCCUGCCGGUCCCGGGACCCAGGACGCCUGCCUCUGUCUCCAGCCAACAGCUGCUUCACGGCUCAGACGCAGCAGGCACCGCCGGGGACCGUCACCCACAAAUGUGACUCUAACCGAGAUCUAUCCGCGGAGGAAGGGCAGGGAUGGAGAGGUGAGCAGGAGCUGGGCUCCAACCAAAGCCAACUUAAGAGGCAACCUGGGGAAACCGGUGACAGGAUGGGUCAGGUAACAAAUCAUUUCAGUCGUGUUAGAACUUUUUAAAAGACCACUCUUGGUGGUUGUGCCUGAGUAUUUAUGACUGGCUCCCAAAUAACUCCGUGGCAGGGAAGCAUCUGCAGGACAUGAACCCCGAGAUCCCCCUUGGGGCGGGGGGGGGUACGUGGGUGCAGUCUGCUGUUUUGCAGAAAUGACAGCUUUGCUGCGAUACAGUGGUUUUCAGGUUACAGGGCUAUGCAACCAUCACCACGGCCUGAGAACCCUGUAUUUUUCAUCUGCUCGAAAUGCUCCCACAAGCCUCAGGUCCACGACGAGGGUACCAGAUCACUGGUGUCUGAACGAGCUUCCCAGGAGACCUGUCCUGCUCCGACUGGGACACCGAAAGGCCUCAGGGUGGCCCCCACCCCAGCUCCCUUUUGGCUUACUGGACAGUGGGCCUGUCUCCAAACGCCCAGGGCACUGACUCAAGGGGCACCUCGAGGAGGCUAGCCUGCCCUGGGGGGCCCAUGGUGACCUGGAUCAGGCCCACCCUUCUGCCUGUACCCCUGCUCUCCUCUGCCCCCAGGCCACCCCAGGAAUCCAGCCAGGGCUUUCUCCCCCCUGGCGGUGAGGCUGCCCGCAGCCCCGUUAGCAUUGGGCGCAGAAACCAGGCUUGGCAGGCCCCCAACCUUUAUUAACCCCCUGGCAGGGCGACGGGGCCCUGCUGGCCACCUGCUGGGAGGAGGGGGAGGGGGCACGGUGCCCAGAUGACCUCAGCAGGCUGUUUUGGUGGCAGAACCUGGGUGGUGGCAUUUUGGCUGAUCAGCUGCUGGGGGCCUGACAGGUGACUGCUGUGCAGAUGGCCGCCCCUGCGGCGCUGCCACUCCUGCCCAGGGAGCCACGCAUGGACACCGCACACUCCCUGAGGACAGCAGCGGCCUUCCAGCACCAAGAGGUUUUGGGUGAAAGAGCGUGUGCACAUGUUUGGCAAGCGAAGCUGGGGGACCCCCUCUCCUGCCACCCACGUCUGCAGCGGAAGCUGCUGGAAGACCCUGCGGGAGCUGGGCUUCAUGAGAGGAAGAGAUUCAGGGGCUUGGAGAAGAGGCAGGGCCCAGACCCUCCCCAGCUCCAGGGUUCACUGCCUCCUUGGGGACAAAGAAACCCCUGGAUGUGGACACCCCCCGCCUCGGAGGGGUCACUGUGCAGAGAAGCAGCUGCUGGACGCCAGGUAGGCAGCGGGAGGAGGUGAAGCUGGCCGCUCGGGAAGGGUGGAUGGUCUCCGGACCCCCAGGCAGGCUGGGGGAGGGGCCGGGGCGCAGCGGCAGGUGGGGGCUCAGGCCGAGCUUGGCCGCCCCCUCCUGGACGCCGGAGAAACUGCGGGGGGGGGGCGCUGGGCGUGACCCGGCCACUCAGAGGCCACAUCAGGAUGGCACCUUGAUGCCAAAGUGUUUGCGAAGCUGUUCCAGAAACACGAAGGUGAGCACGGUGUGGGGCAUGAGGCGGAUGCCGGCUGGCACGAGGCCCUGAGGGAGACCGGGGUGGGGGUGGGGGGUGAGAGGAGCCCUGGAGGGACCCCCGCUCCGCCCCCAGCCCCCGCCGAACCUUGUAAAAGGCCAAGGGCCCGAGCUUGGCCGUCUCCAUGGCGCAGUGCAGGACCCCCUGCGGAAGGUGCAAAGCGACACGAGAGCUGGACCCCUGCCCCUGCGGAGGGACGGCGGCCCGCCCCGCCCAGGGAAGGUCACAGGGAAACCCUGGUGGCUGAGCUGGGGGCACAAGGGUCGAGGGCUACCCUGGCUGCUCCCUGGCCACACCCAGGGCCAGGCUGCCUGACCCAGCCCCGUGAGGACACAGGAGACGCCCCGUGUGACUGGUGGAGCCCCCCGCAGGGCAGGGCAGGGCAGGGCAGGGCAGGGCAGGGCGGGUUUCCCUGAGCACGGCCCGACCGACCGGGCGCGCCUGGUAACGGGGUGUGGCAAAAUCUGAUUUUAAAAGCACACAGGGCCCAGCUGCUCCGGGCCGGACAGCCACGGGGAGGGUGGCCUCGCUGGGCUGCUCACCUGGUACUCGCCCUUGGCGUUCAUCAGGCGGGUCUUGAGCACGUCCAGGGGCUGGCAGAGGACCGUGGCACAUCCACCCUGGGGGGCGGGCCGUUACCAAGAGCCGCUGGGCACCCCGCCCUCCUCCCCAGGCCCCCGGGGCCGCAGGGCUCACCGGGGACCGUCCCAGCCCAGGCUCUGGGGGACCCGCGGGGCCUCCAGAAGACUCGCCAAAGCCUGCUGCCGCUCCGAGCCCUGGCUGCCCCCCAGGGGCACCCCGCCACUCACCGCGAUGAAGCUGGCAAUGAAGUGAGUGAAGAUGCCAUCAGACAGGUGCCCCGUGCUGAGGACCAGCUGCUUGGCCUGGUCAUAGCAGGAUAGCUGUGGCAGGCAGAAAGGUCAGGGCAGGAGGGAGAGCCCCCAGCUCGGGGGAAGCAGCCCAGACCCACACCGCCAGCUGGACAGAGGCCAAACCACCUGCUCUGCGGGUCUCCUACGGUCACCACACCUGGGGGCGGGGGACCGACGAGGCCCCGCCCCGCCCGCAUUCCGUGCCCACUGCCUUCCUGCGGAUCUCUCGGAGGGCUGAGGCCAGACGCCCCGGAUCCCGCCCCCCCCCAAGGAGAAGGCGCACCUGGCCCACGUGACCAGCAUCCCUCGACUGGACGCCAUGGUCGCGCCCGAGAACAGCUUCUUCAGACCCUCUGCCGCAGGAAGGGGAGACGUCAGGGGCCCGGCCCAGACCCCGCCGGCCCCGCCCCGCCCCCGCGCCAAGGGCCUCCCCUCUCACCCUCGCGGGCCACGCGGUACAGGCCGUCCAGGGCGUGGGCGUAGCUGUCAGGACACACGGUGGCCAUGAGUCGCCUCCUGGCCCUUCCCGGGCCAGGAGGCACUCGGGGCGCCACAGGGGCCAGAUGGAGGUGCCCUUUCUGUGAACACAGCCUGUGGACCCCGAGUGCCCCCGGCAAGCCCCUCCCUGCGGGCUGCCUGCUCUGAGGCUGGUCCUUCCGGAGGGCGGGAGGAGGGGACGCUGGACAGGGAGGGUCGCCUGCAGAUGCUGUCUCCUGAACUGACGCCUGGGCCAAAGGCAGCGUCAGGCCAUAAACAGCACUUUGGAACCCA